GACCCACCGGAAUGAAGAGAAGGCCGGCUGAAGAGGAGAGGCGAGGAGCGUCGCGCCGCCGGCGACGGCGAUUCUGCUCACCUGCCGAGCUUGGCCAACGGUACCCAACGACGACAGCUCUUCGGCGGAGCGCAAAUGGGGAGAGACGAACGUUGGCCGGUGGGUACAAGUACAGGAUACGUGAUACUGACUCAAGCAAACGGAUGAUGGCAGCGAGAAGUGCAGCUUGCUCAGCGGACAACUCAAUUGCUGGCGGAAGGUCUAACAGUCUUGAAUGGACUCUACAGAACGAAGGAAGAAGGCUGGGAAAGGGCAAGGAUAUAAAUGCAGUGACUCGAAGCAGUGGGCUGACACUGUGAUUAGUGCUGCUACUGUCGUUCCCUGGUUUUUGAAGGCUUUGUACAUGAUGAAUAUUUUGAGCUUGGUCAGUGAGACCAGAAGGACAAAACUGUUUUCAUUUUAAGAAGCAA